UCUCAUUCAAUACAAGAGCAUGCACUUCAACCAAAGACACAUUCAAGCUUCCAAAUCUCUCUAAGUUCCAUAAUUGUGACUACUGAUUAUUAGUGAUUAAUGACUUGAUAGAGUGUAAUUUUGUGUCUUUUCUUAUUGCUCUUGUUGCUUGGCUUUUAAUCGUGCUUUCUUAUUCUCAUUCUAAACUUCUCAAGUGUUUUGUAAACCAAGCGAGAGACACCUAAGGCCUCAUUUGGCAACUCAGGUAAGGGCAUGGAUUGAGGCCCAAUACACGCCUCACGUGUAACUAGGCCCACAAUAGGAUCACGUUCCCCGUGCGACCUAAAUAUGACUUUGGCGAAUCUGGUCUGGACGUGGAUGUUGGGCCGAUACAUGCUAAUACCCGGGGGACAGAAAAAUCCCCACCCGAGGCGUGGAAGACACCUCGUCGUCCUCCUCGCGUGCGAGCGCCGCCACCGCGCUCACAUCAGUGUCGCCUGGCGUCAGCGCAUUGUGCCCUUCCCAUCGAACUCUGCCGACCCCACAUCUUCCCAUACGAGUGGUGUUUCUCCAAGGUUCGCUGUUGGCCAUAUCCACGUCGUCAUCCUCGAUCCAGACGAGUGUGUGUGCCAUAUCCACAGGUCUUCGACAGAUUUAGUUCCGCCUCACCUCCGCUUAGAUCUUGGCUAGCUUCUUAAGCUUCUCUUCCUCCUGGUCGUAAAAGAGAGGGACAGAGGGAAGAGAGGGUGAGACCGAGAGGAUAAGUAGAGGCCUGUUGAUUUCACGACGAGAGUGUUUGGAUCUUGAUUUCAUGUCGUCCGCAAUGACCCAGGGUGAGGAUAAGUAGCAGGCUGCUCGGCCUACCUCCUCAUUGGCCAGAAGCUCUCCUCAGUUCUCCACUUUGCCCAGCAUGAGCCUCCUCGCCUCCUCGUUGGUUUCCUAUGAGGCCAGAUUGAGCCAACAAGAAUGUUUGGAAGAGCAUCUCCUAGGAUGAACUUGAUCCAAUCUGCAGCUAUGAAAAAAAUAUCCCCCAGAUCUACUACUAACAAGCGCAAGAAGAGAACAUCACCAAAAGAGCAAACUGGAAUAGUGGACUAGAAAAGGGUUUAGUUGAAAUUCUUCAAGACCACAACAAUGACUGUUAUAAGGGCCAAAAUGGGUGGUCAUCGGAAGCAUGGAAUAGAAUUGUCAAGUUCUUCCAUGAGAAAUUCUCUUAUGUCACAUUUACAAAAUGCCAUAUCCAAGAUAAAGAGAAAGAGUUAAAGAGAGACUACAAGGCUCUUAAAGAGGCAAGACAACAAAGCGGGGUCUCAUGGGAUGAGCGGUUGUGUAGAAUAGAAGCAGAAGAACCCAUUUGGAAUAACCUCACCACUAGUAACGAGAGACUUAAGAAGUUUCGGACUAAAUCUUUUCCACUAUUUGAGGCUUUAGGAGAGCUAUAUGAUGGGAAUAUUGCUGAGGGAACCAUGAAUUUUACUUCUAUUGAGCCUUCUCGACCUCAUGUCACACAACCUUGUCAAGGUGCUGCUACACAGCCUUCUCAAGCCGCUUUCACACUUACACAGCCUUCUCAAAUCGCUUUCACACAGCCUUCUCUAGCUGCUUUCGCACAGCCUUCUCGAACCGCUUUUAGACAUCCUUCUCUACCCGCUUUCCCAUAGUCUUCUCAAGCCGCUUUUGCACAGCCUUCUCAAACCACUUUCACACAGCCUUCUGAAGACACUUUCACACAGCCUUCUCAAGCCGCUUUCACACAACCUUCUCAAGCUAAUAUCUCAUAAGCCAUUUCUGAUGAAGAUGACGAGCUUAGAGUAUUGGAUCCAACAACCCCUACAUCAGUGAGCAAAAGGACAAAAAAUGUUGGUACUGGUAAUUCAAGAACAAGAAUUAACAAGCAUACACAAGAUGGGAAUGUGGUUGAGAUGAUGGGAAGGUUUCUAGAAAUGAAAGAAAAACAAGCUGAGGCGGAGGAAAGGGCCACAACUAAUGCAAAUGAGGAUGAUUUCCCUAUUCAAACAUGCAUUGCUAUUGUGGAUGGAAUGGAAGAGCUUUCUGAUGAUGAGAAGGUUGAUGCUUAUGAUGUGUUUAAGGAUGCCCAAAACCGGGACAUUUUCAUGACUGCCAAAGAUGCUACGCGCAUAAAAUGGUUGAGGAAGAAGAUUGCAAGAACAUGAUAUGAUAUAUGAAGCUAAAGUAAUGAAGGAUGAUUUUGUACUAUCGUCCAACAUAAGGAAAGAAAGCUGCAAUUUGUGCUAUUGUUUGAUUGAAGACAAACAGAGAUGGAUAUUUAACUUUAGCCAUGACAAUACUUGUCUGCAACUUUUAAGUAAUCUGUUAAAUUAAAGAUGAGAUCUUGCAGAUUUUUCUUAUUACCUAAUGGAUUCUCUUAUUAACUGAUUCAAAUCUAAUCAUGCAUAUUGCAGUAAGGACUAUGUAUUUUGAAUCAAUGACUCUGGUUCAAUUUUAAAUAUCACAUGUGUUUUAAGUUUCUUAA